UACGGGGGAGGCAAGCGUUGUUCGGAUUUACUGGGCGUAAAGGGCGCGUAGGCGGCCAGCACAAGUCAGUUGUGAAAUCUCCGAGCUUAACUCGGAAAGGUCAACUGAUACUGUGCGGCUAGAGUGCGGAAGGGCAACUGGAAUUCUUGGUGUAGCGGUGAAAUGCGUAGAUAUCAAGAGGAACACCUGCGGCGAAGGCGGGUUGCUGGGCCGACACUGACGCUGAGGCGCGAAAGCCAGGGAGCGAACGGG
rnacentral:rRNA from 1 species